rnacentral:rRNA from 1 species
CACGUAGGGUGCGAGCGUUGUUCGGAAUUACUGGGCGUAAAGCGCGGGCAGGUGGUUCUUUAAGUCCUUUGUGAAAUUCCGGGGCUCAACUCCGGAUGUGCAGAGGAUACUGGAGAACUGGAGACUGGUAGAGGCGAGCGGAAUUCCUGGUGUAGCGGUGGAAUGCGUAGAUAUCAGGAAGAACACCGGUGGCGAAGGCGGCUCGCUGGGCCAGUUCUGACACUCAUACGCGAAAGCGUGGGGAGCAAACAGG